rnacentral:rRNA from 1 species
UACGUAGGGGGCGAGCGUUGUCCGGAAUUAUUGGGCGUAAAGAGCGUGUAGGCGGUUCGGUAAGUCCGCUGUGAAAACUCGAGGCUCAACUUCGAGCUGUCGGUGGAAACUUUCUGGCUAGAGUCCGGAAGAGGAGAAUGGAAUUCCUGGUGUAGCGGUGAAAUGCGCAGAUAUCAGGAAGAACACCCGUGGCGAAGGCGGUUCUCUGGGACGGUACUGACGCUGAGACGCGAAAGCGUGGGGAGCGAACAGG